AGCUUGCUUUUUUGAGACCGGCGCACGGGUGAGUAACGCGUAUGCAACCUACCUUAUACAGGGGAAUAGCCCGAAGAAAUUCGGAUUAAUGCUCCAUGGUUUAUCGAUAUGGCAUCGUAUUGAUAAUAAAGAUUUAUCGGUAUAAGAUGGGCAUGCGUAUCAUUAGCUAGUUGGUGUGGUAACGGCAUACCAAGGCAACGAUGAUUAGGGGUCCUGAGAGGGAGAUCCCCCACACUGGUACUGAGACACGGACCAGACUCCUACGGGAGGCAGCAGUGAGGAAUAUUGGUCAAUGGAGGCAACUCUGAACCAGCCAUGCCGCGUGCAGGAUGACGGUCCUAUGGAUUGUAAACUGCUUUUGUACAGGAAGAAACCUCCCUACGAGUAGGGACUUGACGGUACUGUAAGAAUAAGGAUCGGCUAACUCCGUGCCAGCAGCCGCGGUAAUACGGAGGAUCCGAGCGUUAUCCGGAAUUAUUGGGUUUAAAGGGUUCGUAGGCGGCUUUGUAAGUCAGUGGUGAAAUUUCCUAGCUUAACUAGGACACUGCCAUUGAUACUGCAGAGCUUGAAUAGUAUGGAAGUAACUAGAAUAUGUAGUGUAGCGGUGAAAUGCUUAGAUAUUACAUGGAAUACCAAUUGCGAAGGCAGGUUACUACGUAUUUAUUGACGCUGAUGAACGAAAGCGUGGGGAGCGAACAGGAUUAGAUACCCUGGUAGUCCACGCCGUAAACGAUGGAUACUAGCUGUUCGGUUUUCGGACUGAGUGGCUAAGCGAAAGUGAUAAGUAUCCCACCUGGGGAGUACGUUCGCAAGAAUGAAACUCAAAGGAAUUGACGGGGGCCCGCACAAGCGGUGGAGCAUGUGGUUUAAUUCGAUGAUACGCGAGGAACCUUACCAGGGCUUAAAUGUAGAUUGACAGAUUUGGAAACAGAUUUUUCUUCGGACAAUUUACAAGGUGCUGCAUGGUUGUCGUCAGCUCGUGCCGUGAGGUGUCAGGUUAAGUCCUAUAACGAGCGCAACCCCUAUUGUUAGUUACCAGCGCGUAGUGGCGGGGACUCUAGCAAGACUGCCGGUGCAAACCGUGAGGAAGGUGGGGAUGACGUCAAAUCAUCACGGCCCUUACGUCCUGGGCUACACACGUGCUACAAUGGCAAGUACAGAAAGCAGCUACCUGGCAACAGGAUGCGAAUCUCCAAAGCUUGUCUCAGUUCGGAUUGGAGUCUGCAACUCGACUCUAUGAAGCUGGAAUCGCUAGUAAUCGGAUAUCAGCCAUGAUCCGGUGAAUACGUUCCCGGGCCUUGUACACACCGCCCGUCAAGCCAUGGAAGCUGGGGGUACCUGAAGU
rnacentral:rRNA from 1 species